rnacentral:sRNA from 12 species
UCCCUGUUGACGGAAUGAACGGAAUUCAGUAGCGAUAACUGAGCAGGGA